AGAUGGAAAGUUUAUUACACUUAAAUAUCUAAUUUACACUUAGAAGAACUUUAUUAAUAUUUUAAAGUCCAUUUU
rnacentral:tRNA from 1 species